rnacentral:rRNA from 1 species
UAAUACGUAGGGUGCGAGCGUUAAUCGGAAUUACUGGGCGUAAAGCGUGCGCAGGCGGUUCGGCAAGUCAGAUGUGAAAUCCCCGGGCUCAACCUGGGAACUGCGUUUGAAACUAUCGAGCUAGAAUAGGUCAGAGGGGGGUAGAAUUCCACGUGUAGCAGUGAAAUGCGUAGAGAUGUGGAGGAAUAUCAAUGGCGAAGGCAGCCCCCUGGGAUCAUAUUGACGCUCAUGCACGAAAGCGUGGGAGCAAACAGGAUUAGAUACCCUGGUAGUCCACGCCCUAAACGAUGUCAACUAGUUGUUGGUAGAGUAAAUCUAUGAGUAACGCAGCUAACGCGUGAAGUUGACCGCCUGGGGAGUACGAUCGCAAGAUUAAAACUCAAAUGAAUUGACGGGGGCCCGCACAAGCGGUGGAUUAUGUGGAUUAAUUCGAUGCAACGCGAAAAACCUUACCUGGCCUUGACAUGUACGGAACUUUCCAGAGAUGGAUUGGUGCUC